rnacentral:rRNA from 1 species
GAGUAAUGUCUGGGAAACUGCCUGAUGGAGGGGGAUAACUACUGGAAACGGUGGCUAAUACCGCAUAACGUCGCAAGACCAAAGAGGGGGACCUUCGGGCCUCUUGCCAUCAGAUGUGCCCAGAUGGGAUUAGCUUGUUGGUGAGGUAACGGCUCACCAAGGCGACGAUCCCUAGCUGGUCUGAGAGGAUGACCAGCCACACUGGAACUGAGACACGGUCCAGACUCCUACGGGAGGCAGCAGUGGGGAAUAUUGCACAAUGGGCGCAAGCCUGAUGCAGCCAUGCCGCGUGUAUGAAGAAGGCCUUCGGGUUGUAAAGUACUUUCAGCGGGGAGGAAGGUGUUGUGGUUAAUAACCGCAGCAAUUGACGUUACCCGCAGAAGAAGCACCGGCUAACUCCGUGCCAGCAGCCGCGGUAAUACGGAGGGUGCAAGCGUUAAUCGGAAUUACUGGGCGUAAAGCGCACGCAGGCGGUCUGUCAAGUCGGAUGUGAAAUCCCCGGGCUCAACCUGGGAACUGCAUUCGAAACUGGCAGGCUUGAGUCUUGUAGAGGGGGGUAGAAUUCCAGGUGUAGCGGUGAAAUGCGUAGAGAUCUGGAGGAAUACCGGUGGCGAAGGCGGCCCCCUGGACAAAGACUGACGCUCAGGUGCGAAAGCGUGGGGAGCAAACA